rnacentral:rRNA from 1 species
AGAGUUUGGUCAUGGCUCAGAUUGAACGCUGGCGGCAGGCCUAACACAUGCAAGUCGAACGGUAACAGGAAGCAGCUUGCUGCUUCGCUGACGAGUGGCGGACGGGUGAGUAAUGUCUGGGAAGCUGCCUGAUGGAGGGGGAUAACUACUGGAAACGGUAGCUAAUACCGCAUAAUGUCGCAAGACCAAAGAGGGGGACCUUCGGGCCUCUUGCCAUCGGAUGUGCCCAGAUGGGAUUAGCUUGUUGGUGGGGUAACGGCUCACCAAGGCGACGAUCCCUAGCUGGUCUGAGAGGAUGACCAGCCACACUGGAACUGAGACACGGUCAGACUCCUACGGGAGGCAGCAGUGGGGAAUAUUGCACAAUGGGCGCAAGCCUGAUGCAGCCAUGCCGCGUGUAUGAAGAAGGCCUUCGGGUUGUAAAGUACUUUCAGCGGGGAGGAAGGGAGUAAAGUUAAUACCUUUGCUCAUUGACGUUACCCGCAGAAGAAGCACCGGCUAACUCCGUGCCAGCAGCCGCGGUAAUACGGAGGGUGCAAGCGUUAAUCGGAAUUACUGGGCGUAAAGCGCACGCAGGCGGUUUGUUAAGUCAGAUGUGAAAUCCCCGGGCUCAACCUGGGAACUGCAUCUGAUACUGGCAAGCUUGAGUCUCGUAGAGGGGGGUAGAAUUCCAGGUGUAGCGGUGAAAUGCGUAGAGAUCUGGAGGAAUACCGGUGGCGAAGGCGGCCCCCUGGACGAAGACUGACGCUCAGGUGCGAAAGCGUGGGGAGCAAACAGGAUUAGAUACCCUGGUAGUCCACGCCGUAAACGAUGUCGACUUGGAGGUUGUGCCCUUGAGGCGUGGCUUCCGGAGCUAACGCGUUAAGUCGACCGCCUGGGGAGUACGGCCGCAAGGUUAAAACUCAAAUGAAUUGACGGGGGCCCGCACAAGCGGUGGAGCAUGUGGUUUAAUUCGAUGCAACGCGAAGAACCUUACCUGGUCUUGACAUCCACGGAAGUUUUCAGAGAUGAGAAUGUGCCUUCGGGAACCGUGAGACAGGUGCUGCAUGGCUGUCGUCAGCUCGUGUUGUGAAAUGUUGGGUUAAGUCCCGCAACGAGCGCAACCAUUAUCCUUUGUUGCCAGCGGUCCGGCCGGGAACUCAAAGGAGACUGCCAGUGAUAAACUGGAGGAAGGUGGGGAUGACGUCAAGUCAUCAUGGCCCUUACGACCAGGGCUACACACGUGCUACAAUGGCGCAUACAAAGAGAAGCGACCUCGCGAGAGCAAGCGGACCUCAUAAAGUGCGUCGUAGUCCGGAUUGGAGUCUGCAACUCGACUCCAUGAAGUCGGAAUCGCUAGUAAUCGUGGAUCAAAAUGCCACGGUGAAUACGUUCCCGGGCCUUGUACACACCGCCCGUCACACCAUGGGAGUGGGUUGCAAAAGAAGUAGGUAGCUUAACCUUCGGGAGGGCGCUUACCACUUUGUGAUUCAUGACUGGGGUGAAGUCGUAACAAGGUGACCGUAG